rnacentral:rRNA from 1 species
GACAGAGGGUGCAAACGUUUGUUCGGAUUUACUGGGCGUAAAGCGCGUGUAGGCGGCUUGGCAAGUUGAAUGUGAAAGCCCACGGCUCAACCGUGGAAGCGCAUCCAAAACUGCUUCGCUCGAGUCUCGGAGAGGAAGGUGGAAUGCUUGGUGUAGAGGUGAAAUUCGUAGAUAUCAAGCAGAACACCUGCGGCGAAGGCGGCCUUCUGGACGAUGACUGACGCUGAGACGCGAAAGCGUGGGGAGCAAACAGG